CGUUAGCGGCGGACGGGUGAGUAACACGUGGGUAACCUACCUAUAAGACUGGGAUAACUCCGGGAAACCGGGGCUAAUACCGGAUAAUACAUGAAACCGCAUGGUUUCAUGAUGAAAGACGGUUUUGCUGUCACUUAUAGAUGGACCCGCGGCGUAUUAGCUAGUUGGUAAGGUAACGGCUCACCAAGGCAACGAUACGUAGCCGACCUGAGAGGGUGAUCGGCCACACUGGAACUGAGACACGGUCCAG
rnacentral:rRNA from 1 species